GGCCCUCUGAUAGUAGUGGAUGAUUUUUAUAGAGGGUCAGACCUGCCCGGUGAUGCUAAAAUAAUAGUGUUAAACGGCUGCGGUAUACCUGACCGUGCAAAGGUAGCAUAAUCAUUUGCCUAUUAACUGUGGGCUAGUAUGAAUGGUUAGACGAGGGCCUAACUGUCUUUUUGCGAGUAGUGAAAAUUUAUUUUCUAAGUGAAAAUUCUUAGAUAGGACUGAGGGACGAUAAGACCCUGUCGAGCUUUAGUGGAGCCAUGAAGAUCUGAAUGCAAUGUUUGUAAUUUGGGUUUUUAUGGUGAAAUCUUUGAUUGGGGCGAUCGAGAAGUAUAAAGAACCUUUUUUAGACUAUAUGUGCUGAUGAGCGUUAGAUCUGACGAAGUGUAAAAGAAAGAGUAAGUUACCGCAGGGAUAACAGCGUGAUUUUUCUGGAGAGUUCUUAUUGAGAGAAAAGUUUGCGACCUCGAUGUUGGACUAAGAUAUCCUGAGGGCGUAGAGGCUCUUGAGGGUUAGUCUGUUCGACUAUUAAAAUCUUACA
rnacentral:rRNA from 1 species